UACGAGGGGGGCAAAUGUUGUUCGGAAUCACUGGGCGUAAAGGGAGCGUAGGCGGGUUCUUAAGUAAGGUGUUUAAUCCCGGGGCCCAACCCCGGACCGGCACUUUAAACUGGGAAUCUUGAAUAGUGGAGAGGUCGGUGGAAUUGGGGGUGUAGCGGUGGAAUGCGUAGAGAUCCCCAAGAACACCAGUUGCGAAGGCGGCCGACUGGACACAUAUUGACGCUGAGGCUCGAAAGCGUGGGGAGCGAACAGG
rnacentral:rRNA from 1 species